AUGGGAACGCGAAGAACCUUACCUAGACUUGACAUCUCCUGAAUUAAUCGUAAUUGAUGAAAUCCCUUCGGGGACAGGAAGACAGGUGGUGCAUGGUUGUCGUCAGCUCGUGUCGUGAGAUGUUAGGUUAAGUCCUGCAACGAGCGCAACCCUUAUCAUUAGUUGCUAACAUUUAGUUGAGCACUCUAGUGAGACUGCCCGGGGUUAACCGGGAGGAAGGUGGGGAUGACGUCAAAUCAUCAUGCCCCUUAUGUCUAGGGCUACACACGUGCUACAAUGGUGGGAACAAAGAGAUGCAAGACCGCGAGGUGAAGCCAAACUCAAAAACCCAUCCCAGUUCGGAUUGUAGGCUGAAACUCGCCUACAUGAAGCUGGAGUUGCUAGUAAUCGCGAAUCAGAAUGUCGCGGUGAAUACGUUCCCGGGUC
rnacentral:rRNA from 1 species